rnacentral:rRNA from 1 species
GACGAACGCUGGCGGCGUGCUUAACACAUGCAAGUCGAACGGAAAGGCCCUGCUUUUGUGGGGUGCUCGAGUGGCGAACGGGUGAGUAACACGUGAGUUACCUGCCCUUGACGUUGGGAUAACUUCAGGAAACUGGGGCUAAUACCAGAUAGGAGCUCCUGCUGCAUGGUGGGGGUUGGAAAGUUUCGGCGGUUGGGGAUGGACUCGCGGCCUAUCAGCUUGUUGGUGGGGUAGUGGCUUACCAAGGCUUUGACGGGUAGCCGGCCUGAGAGGGUGACCGGCCACAUUGGGACUGAGAUACGGCCCAGACUCCUACGGGAGGCAGCAGUGGGGAAUAUUGCACAAUGGGCGGAAGCCUGAUGCAGCAACGCCGCGUGCGGGAUGACGGCCUUCGGGUUGUAAACCGCUUUCGCCUGUGACGAAGCGUGAGUGACGGUAAUGGGUAAAGAAGCACCGGCUAACUACGUG